CUUUACGGUGUUUAAACGGACUGCUGUCCCCAUACUGCACAUUGUCACUGCACCCCGUCUGGAGGAAAAGGCCCACGCAGCCACCCAGCAACCACAGCAAAUCUUGCACACGCUGCCAUCGGCACUCAUGGCAGCUAACUGAGAAGAAGCAACGAUGUUCAAGUCACAGUGUAUAGAGGUUUCAAAUGAUAUGUGGGCAAAGUUA